rnacentral:rRNA from 1 species
UACGAAGGGGGCUAGCGUUGCUCGGAAUCACUGGGCGUAAAGGGUGCGUAGGCGGGUUUUUAAGUCAGAGGUGAAAUCCUGGAGCUCAACUCCAGAACUGCCUUUGAUACUGGCGAUCUUGAGUCCGGGAGAGGUGAGUGGAACUCCGAGUGUAGAGGUGAAAUUCGUAGAUAUUCGGAAGAACACCAGUGGCGAAGGCGGCUCACUGGCCCGGUACUGACGCUGAGGUGCGAAAGCGUGGGGAGCAAACAGG